UACGUAGGGUGCGAGCGUUGUCCGGAAUUACUGGGCGUAAAGAGCUCGUAGGUGGUUUGUCGCGUUGUCCGUGAAAACUCACAACUCAAUUGUGGGCGUGCGGGCGAUACGGGCAGACUGGAGUACUGCAGGGGAGACUGGAAUUCCUGGUGGUAGCGGUGGAAUGCGCAGAUAUCAGGAGGAACACCGGUGGCGAAGGCAGAUCUCUGGGCCGUAACUGACGCUGAGGAGCGAAAGCAUGGGGAGCGAACAGG
rnacentral:rRNA from 1 species